AAUGAAAAUAAAAUGGGUUUCAAACAGCCUGCACCACAGACAUAGAUAAACACGGUAUGGGUUAUUGAUCUGGACGCCGCCAAUGAUCUCUCCGCGUAAAAGGCCAUCUCUAGAGGGUCACCGUAUCCCGGAUUUAAAGUAAUUGACCCGACCCGACUAGACCGGAGUGGACCAACCAGCAGAGCAAUGAAUUAUUUGUCCCAACUAUUCGAGAGUUCCGCCAGCCAUUGAUUCCACGCUAUAGGGUUCAUAUUCCGAGUCGGACACUGGGAUACAUCAAGCUUUUCCUGGAUGCCAUGGUGACUACCGGAACGUUAUGCCCUCUGAUACUCUUCUGGACUUCACUAAUUCAUCUCGCCCUGUUACCCGCAAGUGUGUCACCAUUGAGCUGUUACCAAUGUACGAAUGAGAAGACAAAUAUUCACUGUGUGGACGAUUUCAACCUCCGAUCCUGUGACAAAGACACAUGUCAAACUAUUACAUCAUACUCAGAUGUAUCUGAAAAGCUGACUAUUCUGAAGUCAUGUACAACGAACGCGUCCUGCCACAACCAGAGGCAAGAGUACGAACGCUCCUGCAACGUUGAGGCCUCUGAUUGGGUAUGCGUCUACUGCUGUCACCAUGACAAGUGCAAUAUCCACAUCGCUUCCGGAACAACAUCGCCGCUGUCACCCAAGUCCGCGCUCUUAUCACAAAUAUUGGAUUACGUUUUUAUUUCAUUGCUAAUAAUUCCCGUGAGCAAAUGCAUUCUUGCAGAGACAUAAACUAUUUAAAAUCCAAUUUUAUACAGUAGGAAUAUAGGUUAAUGGUGGUCUUCACAGGAAGUGACAGUUUUCCCGAGGAGACUUACGAAUUCUCUAAUAAUUCUGACUACGAUCACUGAUGAGAUUAAUGUUCAUUUGUUACUGCACGAUUACAAAAUGUGCUUCUAACGAGCUAUGUCAUUGACAAAUAUGAUGAAAAAAUAGAAAAAAUAAAUUUUUACACUGGGCAGGAUAAUUAAUACCUAGCAAGUAAUACGCAUAGAUAUGUGUGUACUGUAUGUAUUUUUUAAGAAUUGCUUUGCUCAAAUAUGGCGCAUGCUAUUGAUAUACAUGUAAUAUGAAAAAGGCAUGUGGCAUGCACACAUCUUUACAAUGUAGAUUUUAAACGAAAAUAGCAUAGGCGUCGGAACCGUGGGGGCUAGGGGGAGGGGGGCUUAGCCCCCCCCCCCCACUUUUUUUUGCAAAGUUAGCCCUAACCAUUAGGCACAUAGCAUAAUAGAGGGUUCAGCCCCCCCCCCCCCCAACUUUUCUUGCAGCAAACUUAAUUGAUCUGAAAUUAACCCUGAAAAGAUUGAAAUAUUGAGUAGUUACAGCCCCCCUCC